rnacentral:lncRNA from 1 species
GGGGGCUGGUGGUCCGAGUCCAAGCUGCCGUCACCGACCCGGCCAGUGUGUGGUCAGUCCCUUGGAGGGGCUGGGAGGGGACUCCCCCGUGCCGGCGAGGAUGAUGUUGGCGACGCUGCCGCGUGUGUGGCAGGCUCCGUGGCUGCCUGGGAGGCCACAGCCUGAGUGAUGGGUGACAGCUGGGAGAGGGUGGGUGACACCUGCCGGGCCUGCUGCCUCCUCGCCUCGUGCUCGGGGACAACGGGCUGACACCAGCGGGCGGUGCUGCGGCGAGGAGCCUGGUGUGCUCAAGCCCUGGCUGGUGCGCGGAUGCCCAGGUCAUUGAAGAUUGACAUCACCUGAAUUGUGAAGUCAAUCUUUGCGACAGAGGAAGAAAACUUGGCAGCUGCACAGAAGGAAAAGUGGGGCAAAUGGACAGAAGAAUGUGGGGUGGCUGGGUCAUGUCCCUGCCUCCUUCCAAUUUUCAAGUGAAAGCCCCAAGGACAGACAAAAGUGGAGGGAAGACUAUAGAGUGUUGGCGGAAGCCUUUGGUUCUGGCUUGUGAUUCUUGGAAAUGCUCUGACAUCUCCUUGUUCAUCAGUUCCACAAGAUAUGCCUCUGAUCCAGUGGCUGCAGUUGCCUCUGGGGGCACAUGAGACAUUUCCUGCUCAUCCUACUUUCUUGAAGGACUUGAUUCUAUUUCCUUUGUGUUUAGUCAGGAUUGGCCAACUUGCCAGAGAAUAG